rnacentral:rRNA from 1 species
AUUGAACGCUGGCGGCAUGCCUUACACAUGCAAGUCGAACGGCAGCACGGAGCUUGCUCUGGUGGCGAGUGGCGAACGGGUGAGUAAUAUAUCGGAACGUACCCAAGAGUGGGGGAUAACGUAGCGAAAGUUACGCUAAUACCGCAUACGAUCUAAGGAUGAAAGCAGGGGACCGCAAGGCCUUGUGCUCCUGGAGCGGCCGAUAUCUGAUUAGCUAGUUGGUGAGGUAAAGGCUCACCAAGGCAUCGAUCAGUAGCUGGUCUGAGAGGACGACCAGCCACACUGGAACUGAGACACGGUCCAGACUCCUACGGGAGGCAGCAGUGGGGAAUUUUGGACAAUGGGGGCAACCCUGAUUCAGCAAUGCCGCGUGAGUGAAGAAGGCCUUCGGGUUGUAAAGCUCUUUUGUCAGGGAAGAAACGGUCGUGGCUAAUAUCCAUGGCUAAUGACGGUACCUGAAGAAUAAGCACCGGCUAACUACGUGCCAGCAGCCGCGGUAA